rnacentral:rRNA from 1 species
UACGAAGGGUGCAAGCGUUAUUCGGAAUCAUUGGGCGUAAAGGGUGUGUAGACGGUGUAUUAAGUUUAUUGUUAAAUCUUCUGGCCUAACCGGAAAUCAGCAGUAGAUACUGAUACGCUAGAGGGUGGAAGAGAGAAGUGGAAUUCUCGGAGUAGCGGUAAAAUGCGUAGAUCUCGAGAGGAACACCAAUGGCGAAGGCAGCUUCUUGGUCCAUACCUGACGUUGAGGCACGAAAGCGUGGGGAGCAAACAGGAUUAGAUACCCUGGUAGUCCACGCUGUAAACGAUGAUCACUAGACGUUAAUCUUGUUUUACAGGAUUAGUGUCGUAGCUAACGCGGUAAGUGAUCCGCCUGGGAACUACGGUCGCAAGAUUAAA